rnacentral:rRNA from 1 species
GGGUUGUGAGGUUAAGCGACUAAGCGUACACGGUGGAUGCCCUGGCAGUCAGAGGCGAUGAAGGACGUGCUAAUCUGCGAUAAGCGUCGGUGAGGUGAUAUGAACCGUUAUAACCGGCGAUUUCCGAAUGGGGAAACCCAGUGUGUUUCGACACACUAUCAUUAACUGAAUCCAUAGGUUAAUGAGGCGAACCGGGGGAACUGAAACAUCUAAGUACCCCGAGGAAAAGAAAUCAACCGAGAUUCCCCCAGUAGCGGCGAGCGAACGGGGAGGAGCCCAGAGCCUGAAUCAGUGUGUGUGUUAGUGGAAGCGUCUGGAAAGGCGCGCGAUACAGGGUGACAGCCCCGUACACAAAAAUGCACAUAUUGUGAGCUCGAUGAGUAGGGCGGGACACGUGGUAUCCUGUCUGAAUAUGGGGGGACCAUCCUCCAAGGCUAAAUACUCCUGACUGACCGAUAGUGAACCAGUACCGUGAGGGAAAGGCGAAAAGAACCCCGGCGAGGGGAGUGAAAAAGAACCUGAAACCGUGUACGUACAAGCAGUGGGAGCCUCUUAAUGGGGUGACUGCGUACCUUUUGUAUAAUGGGUCAGCGACUUAUAUUCUGUAGCAAGGUUAACCGAAUAGGGGAGCCGAAGGGAAACCGAGUCUUAACUGGGCGUUAAGUUGCAGGGUAUAGACCCGAAACCCGGUGAUCUAGCCAUGGGCAGGUUGAAGGUUGGGUAACACUAACUGGAGGACCGAACCGACUAAUGUUGAAAAAUUAGCGGAUGACUUGUGGCUGGGGGUGAAAGGCCAAUCAAACCGGGAGAUAGCUGGUUCUCCCCGAAAGCUAUUUAGGUAGCGCCUCGUGAAUUCAUCUCCGGGGGUAGAGCACUGUUUCGGCAAGGGGGUCAUCCCGACUUACCAACCCGAUGCAAACUGCGAAUACCGGAGAAUGUUAUCACGGGAGACACACGGCGGGUGCUAACGUCCGUCGUGAAGAGGGAAACAACCCAGACCGCCAGCUAAGGUCCCAAAGUCAUGGUUAAGUGGGAAACGAUGUGGGAAGGCCCAGACAGCCAGGAUGUUGGCUUAGAAGCAGCCAUCAUUUAAAGAAAGCGUAAUAGCUCACUGGUCGAGUCGGCCUGCGCGGAAGAUGUAACGGGGCUAAACCAUGCACCGAAGCUGCGGCAGCGACACUAUGUGUUGUUGGGUAGGGGAGCGUUCUGUAAGCCUGUGAAGGUGGCCUGUGAGGGUUGCUGGAGGUAUCAGAAGUGCGAAUGCUGACAUAAGUAACGAUAAAGCGGGUGAAAAGCCCGCUCGCCGGAAGACCAAGGGUUCCUGUCCAACGUUAAUCGGGGCAGGGUGAGUCGACCCCUAAGGCGAGGCCGAAAGGCGUAGUCGAUGGGAAACAGGUUAAUAUUCCUGUACUUGGUGUUACUGCGAAGGGGGGACGGAGAAGGCUAUGUUGGCCGGGCGACGGUUGUCCCGGUUUAAGCGUGUAGGCUGGUUUUCCAGGCAAAUCCGGAAAACCAAGGCUGAGGCGUGAUGACGAGGCACUACGGUGCUGAAGCGACAAAUGCCCUGCUUCCAGGAAAAGCCUCUAAGCAUCAGGUAACAUCAAAUCGUACCCCAAACCGACACAGGUGGUCAGGUAGAGAAUACCAAGGCGCUUGAGAGAACUCGGGUGAAGGAACUAGGCAAAAUGGUGCCGUAACUUCGGGAGAAGGCACGC